rnacentral:rRNA from 1 species
AAGCGGUUUAUCAAGUCAGAUGUGAAAUCCCCGGGCUUAACCUGGGAACUGCAUUUGAAACUGGUCAACUAGAGUAUGGUAGAGGAAAGUGGAAUUUCUGGUGUAGCGGUGAAAUGCGUAGAUAUCAGAAGGAACAUCAAUGGCGAAGGCAGCUUUCUGGCCCAAUACUGACGCUGAGGUACGAAAGCGUGGGUAGCAAACAGGAUUAGAUACCCUGGUAGUCCACGCCGUAAACGAUGAUAACUAGCCGUUGGGGGGAUUUACCCUUUAGUGGCGAAGCUAACGCGUUAAGUUAUCCGCCUGGGGAGUACGGCCGCAAGGCUAAAACUCAAAGGAAUUGACGGGGACCCGCACAAGCGGUGGAGCAUGUGGUUUAAUUCGAUGCAACGCGAAGAACCUUACCUGGUCUUGACAUCCUGCGAACUUUCUAGAAAUAGAUUGGUGCCUUAGGGAACGCAGUGACAGGUGCUGCAUGGCUGUCGUCAGCUCGUGUCGUGAGAUGUUGGGUUAAGUCCCGUAACGAGCGCAACCCUUAUCCUUAUUUGCCAGCACAUAAUGGUGGGAACUAUAAGGAGACUGCCGGUGAUAAACCGGAGGAAGGCGGGGAUGACGUCAAGUCAUCAUGGCCCUUACGACCAGGGCUACACACGUGCUACAAUGGGAAAGGACAAAGAGCCGCGAAGCCGCGAGGUGUAGCUAAUCUCACAAAUCUUUUCGUAGUCCGGAUUGGAGUCUGCAACUCGACUCCAUGAAGUCGGAAUCGCUAGUAAUCGUAGAUCAGAACGCUACGGUGAAUACGUUCCCGGGUCUUGUACACACCGCCCGUCAUACCAUGGGAGUGGGUUGCACCAGAAGUGGCUAGUCUAACUUAGUGAGGACGGUCACCACGGUGUGAUUCAUGACUGGGGUAAAGUCGUAACAAGGUA